UGGGGAAUAUUGCACAAUGGGCGCAAGCCUGAUGCAGCCAUGCCGCGUGUGUGAAGAAGGCCUUCGGGUUGUAAAGCACUUUCAGUCGUGAGGAAGGUGGUGUAGUUAAUAGCUGCAUUAUUUGACGUUAGCGACAGAAGAAGCACCGGCUAACUCCGUGCCAGCAGCCGCGGUAAUACGGAGGGUGCGAGCGUUAAUCGGAAUUACUGGGCGUAAAGCGCAUGCAGGUGGUUUGUUAAGUCAGAUGUGAAAGCCCGGGGCUCAACCUCGGAAUAGCAUUUGAAACUGGCAGACUAGAGUACUGUAGAGGGGGGUAGAAUUUCAGGUGUAGCGGUGAAAUGCGUAGAGAUCUGAAGGAAUACCGGUGGCGAAGGCGGCCCCCUGGACAGAUACUGACACUCAGAUGCGAAAGCGUGGGGAGCAAACAGGAUUAGAUACCCUGGUAGUCCACGCCGUAAACGAUGUCUACUUGGAGGUUGUGGCCUUGAGCCGUGGCUUUCGGAGCUAACGCGUUAAGUAGACCGCCUGGGGAGUACGGUCGCAAGAUUAAAACUCAAAUGAAUUGACGGGGGCCCGCACAAGCGGUGGAGCAUGUGGUUUAAUUCGAUGCAACGCGAAGAACCUUACCUACUCUUGACAUCCAGAGAACUUCCAGAGAUG
rnacentral:rRNA from 1 species